GUUGAGGUAGGUGUAGGGUUAGGGGUUGGGGUAGGGUUAGGGUUAGUGGUUGGAGUAGGGUUGGUGGGUAGGGUUAUGGUAGGGGUAGGGUAACCCUAACCCUAUUCCUAACCCUGCCCCUCACCUUUCAUCUAACCCUACCCCUCACCCUUCCUCUAACCCUACCCCUAACCCUACCCUAAUCCUACCUUUACACUACCCUUAACCCUACCCCUAAACCUACCCUAACCCUACCUCUAAC